ACCAUGGCGACGUUCUACACUCGCUGCCUACAAGAGCUCCCAAAAUUGAACAUCACUGAUGUUCAUCGGAUUUGCAGAGUGACGACUACCCCAGCCAGCAAAUUGGAUAAAGGAUUUAAGUUAUAUGCUGCAUCAUAUAUACACAACUACGAAGUGUCCAAUAAAGACAGGUUGUCAGGGGAGGUCGGUGUGAGAGCCCUGUGCUACAGGUCAAUGAGGAAGAGUGAGGCACCACACAGACUAAGUAUUAAGCUUCUGGAUUCAUCGCCGGUGGUACUGACACAUAGCCAGUGCUCCUGUGUGGCAGGCGCUGUUAUGUGCAAUCACACUGUGGCACUGCUCUUCCAAA